rnacentral:rRNA from 1 species
UACGGAGGGUGCAAGCGUUAUCCGGAUUCACUGGGUUUAAAGGGUGCGUAGGCGGAUUAGGAAGUCCGUUGUGAAAUCUCUGAGCUUAACUCGGAAAUUGCGGUGGAUACUAUUAGUCUUGAAUACUGUGGAGGUUAGCGGAAUAUGUCAUGUAGCGGUGAAAUGCAUAGAUAUGACAUAGAACACCAAUUGCGAAGGCAGCUGGCUACACAGAUAUUGACGCUGAGGCACGAAAGCGUGGGGAUCAAACAGG